rnacentral:rRNA from 1 species
GAUGAACGCUGGCGGCGUGCUUAACACAUGCAAGUCGAACGAUGAAGCUGCCUGCUUGCAGGUGGUGGAUUAGUGGCGAACGGGUGAGUAUCACGUGAGUAACCUGCCCUUGACUCUGGGAUAAGCCCGGGAAACUGGGUCUAAUACCGGAUAUGACCUCUCAUCGCAUGGUGGGGGGUGGAAAGUUUUUAACGGUCUUGGAUGGGCUCGCGGCCUAUCAGCUUGCCGGGGGGGUAGUGGCCUACCGUGGCUUUGACGGGUAGCCGGCCUGAGAGGGUGACCGGCCACGCUGGGACUGAGACACGGCCCAGACUCCUACGGGAGGCAGCAGUGGGGAAUAUUGCACAAUGGGCGCAAGCCUGAUGCAGCGACGCCGCGUGCGGGAUGACGGCCUUCGGGUUGUAAACCGCUUUCAGUACAGAAGAAGCCCUUUUUGGGUGACGGUAUGUGCAGAAGAAGCGCCGGCUAACUACGUGCCAGCAGCCGCCGUAA